AGUGGGGAUUUUAUCCUGAUAUUUGUAACCUAACCUAAAAGCGUUGAUUAAAUAUUUGUGCCAUAUAUACCAAAAUAUCUUGGAGUAUCUAUAUUUUGAAGGAACAUGUAGUUUUUCUUACGAUGUUCUUUAAAAACCUGUGUCCUACUAUGUGUACAUUAACUAAAAUACUUAGAACCUCCGAAGAUCAUGAGGAAAACAAUUAAUCUUACCACUAGUUAAGAACCUACCCAUAGACAGUGAAGAAGCAAUCAGUUUUAUGACAAGACAACAGUCAACUCACCACAAGUUAAGACGGACACUCCCCAUGGACGGACGAAGAAGCAAUCAGGUUUAUGACAAGUAAGG